UACGGGGGGGGGCAAGCGUUGUUCGGAAUUACUGGGCGUAAAGGGUUCGUAGGUGGCUUGCUAAGUCAGACGUGAAAUCCCUCGGCUUAACCGGGGAACUGCGUCUGAUACUGGAUGGCUGGAGUUUGGGAGAGGGAUGCGGAAUUCCAGGUGUAGCGGUGAAAUGCGUAGAUAUCUGGAGGAACACCGGUGGCGAAGGCGACAUCCUGGACCGGUAUUGACGCUGAGGCGCGAAAGCCAGGGGAGCAAACGGG
rnacentral:rRNA from 1 species